UAGAUAAAAUGUGUUUUUCAGAAGCCUUGUCUUGAUGAUUAGUGGUAUAGUGACAUAAAAGAUUGAGAAUGACUGAUGUGAAGAAGACUAAACGAAGUAACUCGACCAAGCUGCUAGGAAUGCUGGGUAAACAAGACCGUAGGACCAGCAGAGAGGAGAGCAGGACGAGUAGGGAGGACGAGGAUGAGAACCAAGAUUCAGAAACUCCAGAUGUUCUCCCGAUCCUACGAGGCUCCGCUAAGAAAAAGGAACAGUCCUCAACCAACGGUAUCGUGA